rnacentral:rRNA from 1 species
AUUGAACGCUGGCGGCAUGCUUUACACAUGCAAGUCGAACGGCCGCGCGGGCUUCGGCCUGGCGGCGAGUGACGAACGGGUGAGUAAUGCAUCGGAACGUGACCAGCCUUGGGGGAUAGCCCGGCGAAAGCCGGAUUAAUACCGCAUACGACCUGAGGGUGAACGCGGGGGACCGAAAGGCCUAGCGCUAUUGGAGCGGCCGAGGUCGGAUUAGCUAGUUGGUGGGGUAAAGGCUUACCAAGGCGACGAUCCGUAGCUGGUCUGAGAGGACGACCAGCCACACUGGGACUGAGACACGGCCCAGACUCCUACGGGAGGCAGCAGUGGGGAAUCUUGGACAAUGGGCGCAAGCCUGAUCCAGCCAUGCCGCGUGAGGGAAGAAGGCCUUCGGGUUGUAAACCGCUGUUGUUCGGGAAGAAAACCUCUGGGCUAAUACCCCGGGGGGAUGACGGUACCGGAAGAAUAAGCACCGGCUAACUACGUG